UGCUCCCUGGCAAUGGGCAAAGAGACACCUUGGUGGUGGUGGUAUUCUUAUAACACUCAGGGGCAGAGAGAUAGCAGUCCUUUGUUCCUCUUAGCUUGAUGCUUGGCUUCAUUGCCAAAGCUGUUUUAUGCCUAGGUCAUAAAA